rnacentral:rRNA from 1 species
UGGGGAAUAUUGGACAAUGGGGGCAACCCUGAUCCAGCCAUGCCGCGUGAGUGAUGAAGGCCUUAGGGUUGUAAAGCUCUUUCACCCGUGACGAUGAUGACGGUAACGGGAGAAGAAGCCCCGGCUAACUCCGUGCCAGCAGCCGCGGUAAUACGGAGGGGGCAAGCGUUGUCCGGACUUACUGGGCGUAAAGCGCACGCAGGUGGUAGCGCAAGUGGGGUGUGAAAGCCGCCAGCUCAACUGGCGGAGGCCAUCCCAAACUGCGUCACUUGAGGCCUGUAGAGGUAUGUGGAAUUGCCGGUGUAGUGGUGAAAUGCGUAGAGAUCGGCAGGAACACCCAGGGGGAAACCAGCAUACUGGACAGGUCCUGACACUCAGGUGCGACAGCGUGGGGAGCGAACCGGAUAAGAUACCCGUGUAGUCC